AGUGAACGCUGGCGGUAGGCCUAACACAUGCAAGUCGAACGGCAGCACAGGAGAGCUUGCUCUCUGGGUGGCGAGUGGCGGACGGGUGAGGAAUACAUCGGAAUCUACUUUUUCGUGGGGGAUAACGUAGGGAAACUUACGCUAAUACCGCAUACGACCUACGGGUGAAAGCGGGGGACCUUCGGGCCUUGCGCGAUUGAAUGAGCUGAUGUCGGAUUAGCUAGUUGGCGGGGUAAAGGCCCACCAAGGCGACGAUCCGUAGCUGGUCUGAGAGGAUGAUCAGCCACACUGGAACUGAGACACGGUCCAGACUCCUACGGGAGGCAGCAGUGGGGAAUAUUGGACAAUGGGCGCAAGCCUGAUCCAGCCAUACCGCGUGGGUGAAGAAGGCCUUCGGGUUGUAAAGCCCUUUUGUUGGGAAAGAAAUCCAGCUGGCUAAUACCCGGUUGGGAUGACGGUACCCAAAGAAUGAGCACCGGCUAACUUCGUGCCAGCCGCCGCCGUAA
rnacentral:rRNA from 1 species